UACGGAGGGUGCAAGCGUUAUUCGGAAUUACUGGGCGUAAAGCGUAUGUAGGCGGUCUUUUAAGUCUGGUGUGAAAGCCCGGGACUCAAUCCCGGAAGUGCAUCAGAUACUGAUUGACUAGAGUAUAGGAGAGGUAAGUGGAAUUCCUGGUGUAGAGGUGAAAUUCGUAGAUAUCAGGAGGAACAACAGAGGCGAAGGCGACUUACUGGACUAUAACUGACGCUGAGAUACGAAAGUGUGGGGAGCAAACAGG
rnacentral:rRNA from 1 species